rnacentral:miRNA from 1 species
UUGCACAUUACCAAUAUUCUGA